CCUACGGGAGGCAGCAGUGAGGAAUAUUGGUCAAUGGACGAGAGUCUGAACCAGCCAAGUAGCGUGAAGGAUGACUGCCCUAUGGGUUGUAAACUUCUUUUAUAUGGGAAUAAAAUGUUCCACGUGUGGGAUUUUGUAUGUACAAUAUGAAUAAGGAUCGGCUAACUCCGUGCCAGCAGCCGCGGUAAUACGGAGGAUCCGAGCGUUAUCCGGAUUUAUUGGGUUUAUAGAGAGCGUAGGUGGAUUGUUAAGUCAGUUGUGAAAGUUUUCGGCUCAACCGUAAAAUUGCAGUUGAAACUGGCAGUCUUGAGUACAGUAGAGGUGGGCGGAAUUCGUGGUGUAGCGGUGAAAUGCUUAGAUAUCACGAAGAACUCCGAUUGCGAAGGCAGUUCACUGGACUGCAACUGACACUGAGGCUCGAAAGUGUGGGUAUCAAACAGGAUUAGAUACCCUUGUAGUC
rnacentral:rRNA from 1 species